rnacentral:rRNA from 1 species
AGCAUAUCAAUAAGCGGAGGAAAAGAAACUAACAAGGAUUCCCCUAGUAACGGCGAGUGAAGCGGGAAGAGCUCAAAUUUGUAAUCUGGCGGUCCAAGGCCGUCCGAGUUGUAGUCUGGAGAAGCGUUUUCCGUGCUGGACCGUGUACAAGUCCCUUGGAACAGGGCGUCGUAGAGGGUGAGAAUCCCGUCUUAGACACGGACUGCCAGUGCUUUGUGAUGCGCUCUCGAAGAGUCGAGUUGUUUGGGAAUGCAGCUCAAAUCGGGUGGUAAAUUCCAUCUAAAGCUAAAUAUUGGCGAAAGACCGAUAGCGAACAAGUACCGUGAGGGAAAGAUGAAAAGCACUUUGGAAAGAGAGUUAAACAGUACGUGAAAUUGUUGAAAGGGAAACGAUUGAAGUCAGUCGCGCCUCUCGGGACUCAGCCUUGCUUCUGCUCGGUGUACUUCCUGGGGUGGCGGGCCAACAUCGAUUUCGACCAUUAGAGAAAGGCGUGAGGAAUGUGGCACCUCCGGGUGUGUUAUAGCCUCGCGUCGCAUGUGAUGGUUGGGAUCGAGGACCGCAGCACGCCUUCAUUGGCCGGGGUUCGCCCACGUAACGUGCUUAGGAUGUUGGCGUAAUGGCUUUAAACGACCCGUCUU